rnacentral:rRNA from 1 species
AUGAACGCUGGCGGCGUGCCUAAUACAUGCAAGUAGAACGCUGAAGGAAGGAGCUUGCUCUUUCCGGAUGAGUUGCGAACGGGUGAGUAACGCGUAGGUAACCUGCCUGGUAGCGGGGGAUAACUAUUGGAAACGAUAGCUAAUACCGCAUAACAGUAGAUGUUGCAUGAUAUCUACUUAAAAGGUGCAAUUGCACCACUACCAGAUGGACCUGCGUUGUAUUAGCUAGUUGGUGAGGUAACGGCUCACCAAGGCGACGAUACAUAGCCGACCUGAGAGGGUGAUCGGCCACACUGGGACUGAGACACGGCCCAGACUCCUACGGGAGGCAGCAGUAGGGAAUCUUCGGCAAUGGACGGAAGUCUGACCGAGCAACGCCGCGUGAGUGAAGAAGGUUUUCGGAUCGUAAAGCUCUGUUGUAAGAGAAGAACGAGUGUGAGAGUGGAAAGUUCACACUGUGACGGUAUCUUACUAGAAAGGGACGGCUAACUACGUG